rnacentral:rRNA from 1 species
ACAGCUCAAAUUUGAAAUCUGGCCUUCUGGUCCGAGUUGUAAUUUGUAGAGGAUGUUUCGAACGUGGUCCGGUCUAAGUUUCUUGGAACAGAACGUCAUAGAGGGUGAGAAUCCCGUAUGCGACUGGGUGCCUAAGUUCAUGUGAAGCUCCUUCGACGAGUCGAGUUGUUUGGGAAUGCAGCUCAAAAUGGGUGGUAAAUUUCAUCUAAAGCUAAAUAUUGGCCAGAGACCGAUA